UUCUAGGAGCCCAACAAUGGCAAUGGAUGUAUAACAUCUAAAAAUCCUUCAGCCUGUGUCUCUUCUCUCUACCUAGAUGUCAUAGUACUGGUUUUCUUAUUUCACAAGAAAGAAUCAGUGUCAUUUAGACCCUCUUGAAUAACCUUCUGGCAGAGCAAGUUGAAGCAAAACCAAGAAGGUGGGUGAGAUUAUUCUGAAAGCUGCCAGAUGAGAGGAAAUAGAAACUAGGCUGAAGGAAGCUGUGUGCCUGGGAGCAUAACAUGUCUCCUACACAGCCUGACAAGUGUGAUUCCUGUUGGGUGUCUCCAGACAGCUGCCACCAAAGAAAAAAUCCUAGUUGUCCACAAACCAGAAAAAAAAAAACCAAAGGAGGAAGUGGAAAAGCCAAGUGAGAUUCAGCCGGGCCAAAGAGAAGGUCCUAGGACAUGUCUGGAAGAAUAGGGAGGAAGCAGCAUGUCUGAAAAGGAAAUCUACUCCAUCCCAUCUAUCCCAAAUGUACUAGUGGCGU
rnacentral:lncRNA from 12 species